UCCAGGUUCCAGUUGCAGAGGGAGAUGUUCAGACCCAGAGUCCUAAGCUUGGUGACGAGGAUAGGGCUGCUGAUUUAGGAUUAGUUUUGCCUUUAAGAUCCCAAACAAUAUUACACAGACAGAGCGACCUGAUCCCAGAUCAGCACURCUACUGUGAGACACUUUAUGAAUACAGGCCCAGAGUUUGAUUCUAUUUGCCUYGAGUUUACAAAGGAUAUGACUGCCAUCUACUGCAUAAUAUUAUGUACUGUAUAUGGGACUCAAGUGUAUGGUAGUCCCAGCAGUUUUUCCAUCUGUUGUCUCUAGGUACUCGAUAAUGUUGACAUGGCGGUUAACGUUAGGGAUGCUGAGAACAACGUUAGCGAAGCUACCGUGACCCCCGCUGUCACUUCAAGAAUAUAUAGAUUCAAUGCGAAUUGGCUCAAAAUGUUCCCUGGCUAGAGUUCGAAAACAACGUCAUGUUCUGCAAAUAUUGUGUAGAGGGCAGAAACAGGCAGGCAACUCGUCCUUCGUGUCAGGAAACCCGCAUCUGACAAGAGAUAGGGUAGCGAACCAUAACAUCUCGCGGCGGCAUAUCCAGUGCAGAGAGCUGUACCUGUUGAGACAGGAGAAACCAUCAGGCACGGUGUCAGCAUCCUUGAGGCGGCAAGUGCUGCUGUCUGAGGAGGAGAAGAGGAGGCAGCUGAAAAUAAAGAUAAACAUCGCUUACUUCAUUGCGAAAGAAGAAGAACCUUUCGUCAAAUUUGGGUCGCUUAUCAGACUCCACCACAAAAACGUUGAAAUUUAUCCCACAUAUGACAAUGAUGUAAGAUGUGAGGAGAUGAUCAGUCAAAUUGCUGACAUAAUGAGAGAGAGCCUGUCAGCGAAGCUGAAGUAUCUUGCGGUUCUAAUAGACGGAGACUGAUAUAUCCAACACCGAAUGCGAGAUUGUCUACGUACGCUUGCUGGAGGAUAGGAAGCCAGUCAAUCAAUCUCCUGGUCGGACAACAGACCCUUGAGCACUCUCAUGCCAUUGGUAAGUUGCUCCUCUUUAUAGGCUUUAUUCUUGUGUAAAGUUGAAUCAUUAUUCAGUUUGUCAGAAGUACUUUUGUAUAWUUUUUUUUUUUGUGUUGUCAUUCGAGGUGUUUUGGAUGCCACCAAGGCCACAUUUCGGGCUGUUUGCCCAGAGGAGGAUGGAGGGUCAUGGAUGAAGAGGUACAUCUCCUUCAGGGCAGAUGGUGCCUCCGUGAACGUGGGCCACCGUGAGGGAGUGAUUGCCCACCUGCAGAGAGAGGCAGGGAGGCAUAUAAUCCCAAUCCACUGUAUGCCACAUAGAGAAUGUAUUAGUUACAAACCUAUGAUUUAGUUUUAUUUGCUAGCAGAGAAUGUCGAAGUGCAGCGCUAAGUGCUGGAAUGGUAAAUACCACAGAAUUAUUGUUUUCUGUUGGCAGAAGAGACGGGAGGAAGGAGACGGUGAAUUGUUAGGAAGAUUCUGUUCUGACUUCCACAGACUAGAGCUGGCAAUACUGACCAUUAAGAAGAAAGAGCCAAAGGUGUCUGUCGUGUACGAUCUUCUGAAUCUGAUAUGGAAGACGUAUCACUUCAGCGGAAAAUCCAAACGAGAGCUCUAUGUACUCAGGCAAGAGCUCUGUGUGGAUAUUUGCACACCGUCUAGCGUCAAGGGAACUCGCUGGAUCCCCCAUGUCCACAGAGCCCUCAAAGUGUUCCUACGGCAUGGACAAGACAAGGACCGUGCCACUGACGAAGGCCAGUACUCCGUUGUUCUCUAGCACAUGGAGCACCUGGCCAUAGCAUCAACACCAGCGGAAGUUCAAGGGCGGGCAAAGAAGGUCAGUUUUACACAGGAAAUGRAAUACCACACUCGUUUUAAAAAAUAGGCUCAAGACUCAAAUUAACUUUCAGAAUCAAGUAAUUGACAGGUGACAGUUUAUUUACUUACUACUUAACAGAAAAAGCGGGAAAUGGAGAAUGCACUCUUGUGUAUUCUGCCAUUUUCUUUCAGACAUGUUUGAGGAGCUAUCCUCACUUAGCCUCACCCUGCAAAGGAAUGACCUGAUCCUCCCCCAAGCCACAUCAGAGUUGAGGAAGACAGUGACCAGACUGGAAGCACUAAAGCUUAGGGCAAAGGCAGGAGGCAUGCUGGACAAGAUCCAGACCAUGCUUGCUCAGCAGCAGGGUGAUGAGUGGAGAUUCCAGGUGUGUUAGGAUGAGAGCUUGUUAGGAUCUAAGAGAAAUCGAUUAUUAAAAUCGAUGAUUAAGACAGAUUCUCAGUGUGAGAAUCAAUGUAUCCGUUGCCCAAUAGAACAAUUUGAGGAUAAGGAGGGAAAUGCAGUGGAGAAGUUUUUAAUUUUGUUUUAUGGGAGACAGACAAAUUGCCAGACAUUUCAUUGUGUGUUGGUGUAUGUGUCUCUGUGUGUGUGUGCGUUAUUUCUGUUGAAGGGAAUAACACUGAAGGGAAAUCUGAAAGGCUUCACGGACCUCGCCAAUCCCCAGCUGAAGUCGCACAUGGAGGCGGCCAUCAACAUCGGCGUGGAUGAUCUCAAAGCCAGGUUUGGUGGUUUCCUGAAGGAUGAGGGUGUCCAGACAUAUGGCCAGAAGACCAGGCCAGCCUUCUCACCUUUGGCGAUGAUGGUGUGGCAUACCUGAUGAGGCAUUUCAAGGAGCCUCUAGAGAGAUCAGGGUGCAACAUGGCUGUAAUCCAGGAUGAGUGGCAGGGGCUGAACAUCCUGGUCAGCCACAAUUUCAAGGACAAGUCCUACAGUGGCCUGUGGGAGACCAUGUUGACUAAGGACCCCUACUGGCACGAUUACAAGGUAGAUGUCAAGGGGUGAGUGUAGCUGGUGCGUGGAAGUCAGGCGCAGGAGAGCAGAGAUGAGUGGACAAAGCACUUUAGCCCAGUGUGAGCGAGGCUUCUCUGCGCAGAACCGGAUUAAUAAUUCGACAAGAAGCUGCCUUGGGGUCUCCACCACCGAAGACCUGAUGAGGAUCAGCCUGGACGGGCCUUCUGUCGAGGAGUUGGAUCCCACUCCUGCCGUGGACCGCUGGCUGACCUUUAAGCGUGCCAGACGGCCAACAUACAAAAGCAGCUGGACAACUGAUAUCCUUUGAGUCUAGUAGGCAUGGGUCAACGGGUGAUUUUGGUGGUAUGUGCUGUUCCACAGAUGUGUGUCCCUUGGUACACGCACUCACACUCACACACGCAGUAUAAAUAUGUAUGUAAUAAAUUGUUUGUUAAUAAACUCUGUGUUGCAUUUUUCA